rnacentral:rRNA from 1 species
UACUUAGUGGCGGACGGGUGAGUAACGCGUGGGCAACCUGCCCCGUGCCGGGGGAUACCGCCUGGAAACAGGCGCUAAUACCGCAUAAGCGCAUACAGCCGCAUGGCAGUAUGCGGAAAGCUCCGGCGGCACGGGACGGGCCCGCGCCCGAUUAGCCAGUUGGCGGGGUAACGGCCCACCAAAGCGACGAUCGGUAGCCGGCCUGAGAGGGCGGACGGCCACAUUGGGACUGAGACACGGCCCAAACUCCUACGGAAGGCAGCAG